rnacentral:misc_RNA from 1 species
UACGGAGGGUGCAAGCAUUAAUCGGAUUUACUGGGCGUAAAGGGCGUGUAGGCGGAAAGAUAAGUCAGAUGUGAAAUUUCGGUACUCAAUACCGAAGCUGCAUUUGAAACUAUCUAUCUUGAGGAUGAACGGAGAAAACGGAAUUCCACGUGUAGCGGUGAAAUGCGUAGAUAUGUGGAAGAACACCUGUGGCGAAAGCGGUUUUCUAGUUUAUACCUGACGCUGAGGCGCGAGAGCAAGGGGAGCAAACAGG